rnacentral:rRNA from 1 species
CCUACGGGUGGCUGCAGUGAGGAAUAUUGGUCAAUGGGCGCGAGCCUGAACCAGCCAAGUAGCGUGAAGGAUGACUGCCCUACGGGUUGUAAACUUCUUUUAUAAAGGAAUAAAGUGAGGCACGUGUGCCUUUUUGUAUGUACUUUAUGAAUAAGGAUCGGCUAACUCCGUGCCAGCAGCCGCGGUAAUACGGAGGAUCCGAGCGUUAUCCGGAUUUAUUGGGUUUAAAGGGAGCGUAGAUGGGUUGUUAAGUCAGUUGUGAAAGUUUGCGGCUCAACCGUAAAAGUGCAAUUGAUACUGGCAGUCUUGAGAACAGGUGAGGUAGGCGGAAUGCGUGGUGUAGCGGUGAAAUGCUUAGAUAUUACGAAGAACUCCGAUUGCGAAGGCAGCUUACUGACGUGGAACUGACAUUGAUGCUCGAAAGUGUGGGUAUCGAACAGGAUUAGAUACCCGAGUAGUC